UUUAAAUUUAAUAAAAUUUCCAAUCAGCAAAUAAUUAUUUCAUUACACGCGUAAUAAAGUUUACAGAAACAAACGACUCCCAUACAAACGAAAAAAAAAGAAAAAGAAACGCACACAAUACUAUUAUUACUUCCACAAUUUCCUUUAUUCAAAUGUAACAGAAUAAAUGAACAAUGGUCAUGGCAUGGUCCAUUUGCGGUUGCCUUUCAUGAAUAUCGUUCUUAAUAUCGUACAAAGAAGCCUUGAUUACGACUCGAUCCCCUAGGCAAAUUCGUUAGAUGGCAUGACAUCCUUGUGGUACUGGAAGACUUGAUGAAGCUAAGACUCGAUUCCCUUGGCAAAUUCGUUGGAUGGCACGACAUCCUUGUGGUACUGGAAGACUUGAUUAGGUUGUGUCUCGGUCCCAACCGCAAAUUCAUUAGAUGGCACGGCAUCUUUGUGGUAUUGGAAUACUUGAUUAGGUUGCGACUCGAUCUCCUUGAAACCUUCAUUUGAUGGCACGACAUCCUUGUUGUACUGGAAGACUUGAUUAGGUUGUGACCCGAUCCCUUUGGAAAAUUCAUUUGACGGCACGACAUCCUUGUGGUACUGGAAGACUUGAUUAGGCUGCGAUUCGAUUCCCUUGGCAAAUUCGUUGGAUGGCACGAUAUCCUUGUGGUACUGGAAGACUUGAUUAGGCUGCAAUUCCAUCCCCUUGGAAAAUUCAUUAGAUGUCACGACAUCCUUGUGGUACUGGAAGACUUGAUUAGGCUGCGACUCGAUCUCCUUGGCAAAUUCAUUAGAUGGCACGGCAUCCUUGUGGUACUGGAAGACUUGGUUAGGCUGCAACUCGAUCUCCUUGGCAAAUUCAUUAGAUGGCACGGCAUCCUUGUGGUACUGGAAGACUUGGUUAGGCUGCAACUCGAUCUCCUUGGCAAAUUCAUUAGAUGGCACGGCAUCCUCGUGGUACUGGAAGACUUGAUUAGGUUGCGACUCGGUCCCUUCCGCAAAUUCAUUAGAUGGCACGAUAUCCUUGUGGUAUUGGAAUACUUGGUUAGGUUGCGACUCGAUCUCCUUGGAAAAUUCGUUGGAUGGCACGGCAUCCUUGUGGUACUGGAAGACCUGAUUAGUAUCACAACGUACAUCGGCGUGAUCAGAGUUUGCAGCAGGCAGUAGGGAUUCGAUUGCUUUGGGCAUAAGCUGAUCUUUCAUCACAGAUUUCCAGUAACCCCCUAUUGAGUCUUUUCUUGCAUUGAC
rnacentral:lncRNA from 1 species